UUGCUGAAAAGGAAGCGAUUGGAACCUUUUGGAAUCUAAUACGUGAAUCUCUUAUAACAUCGAGCCCUUGAUUCUUUCACUUUUUAAAAGAAGGGGGGAAUUAGGGUAAGGCUAUAGAUGUAAGGGACGAGAAUCGUAUUAGAGAGGUCAGCAUCAGUUAUGAAGGAAAGAUUAGGGAUGCAGAAGGUAGGCCCCCUGUGGGCUGCUUUAUAGAUGCAUCAUUAUAUGUACUUUCCUUUAUGACUGACGUGUACUUUUAUUGCAUGGAAUUUUCGGGCUACACUCUCUUUUGAGAGUACUCGAGUUCUGUGAUGCUGGCUGAAACGGUUUCAACCGACCCGUCUUGAAACACGGACCAAGGAGUCUAACAUAUGUGCGAGUAUGCGGGUGGCAAACCUGUAUGCGUAAUGAAAGUAAGAGUAGGGAAGAGGGUAACAUCUUUUUAAAGGGAUGUUAUGCUUUGCACCUACGACCGACCACGAUCUCAGAGAGAGGUUUGAGUUGGAGCAUAUCUGUUAG
rnacentral:rRNA from 1 species